GAUGAACCUAGUGGACAUGGCAUCUGCCCGGUAAGCGGAACACUGUGGGUUCGAUUCCCAUCCCUGGACA
rnacentral:tRNA from 1 species